rnacentral:rRNA from 1 species
AUUGAACGCUGGCGGCAUGCCUUACUUUUUGCAAGUCGAACGGCAGCACGGAGCUUGCUCUGGUGGCGAGUGGCGAACGGGUGAGUAAUAUAUCGGAACGUACCCUAGAGUGGGGGAUAACGUAGCGAAAGUUACGCUAAUACCGCAUACGAUCUAAGGAUGAAAGUGGGGGAUCGCAAGACCUCAUGCUCGUGGAGCGGCCGAUAUCUGAUUAGCUAGUUGGUAGGGUAAAAGCCUACCAAGGCAUCGAUCAGUAGCUGGUCUGAGAGGACGACCAGCCACACUGGAACUGAGACACGGUCCAGACUCCUACGGGAGGCAGCAGUGGGGAAUUUUGGACAAUGGGCGAAAGCCUGAUCCAGCAAUGCCGCGUGAGUGAAGAAGGCCUUCGGGUUGUAAAGCUCUUUUGUCAGGGAAGAAACGGUGAGAGCUAAUAUCUCUUGCUAAUGACGGUACCUGAAGAAUAAGCACCGGCUAACUACGUGCCAGCAGCCGCGGUAAUACGUAGGGUGCAAGCGUUAAUCGGAAUUACUGGGCGUAAAGCGUGCGCAGGCGGUUUUGUAAGUCUGAUGUGAAAUCCCCGGGCUCAACCUGGGAAUUGCAUUGGAGACUGCAAGGCUAGAAUUCUGGCUAAGGGGGGGUAAAAUUCUCCGUGUAUCUAUGAAUUGCGUAAAUUAGGGGGAGGAACUCCGAUGGGGAAAGGCCGCUCCCCGGCGUCAAGAUUGACCCUCAUGCCCGAAAAGCGUGGGGAGCAAACAGGAUUAGAUACCCUGGUAGUCCACGCCCUAAACGAUGUAUACUAGUUGUCGGGUCUUAAUUGACUUGGUAACGCAGCUAACGCGAGAAGUAGACCGCCUGGGGAGUACGGUCGCAAGAUUAAAACUCAAAGGAAAUGACGGGGACCCGCACAAGCGGUGGAUGAUGUGGAUUAAUUCGAUGCAACGCGAAAAACCUUACCUACCCUUGACAAGGCUGGAAUCCUUGAGAGAUCAGGGAGUGCUCGAAAGAGAGCCAGUACACAGGUGCUGCAAGGCUGUCGUCAGCUCGUGUCGUGAGAUGUUGGGUUAAGUCCCGCAACGAGCGCAACCCUUGUCAUUAGUUGCUACGAAAGGGCACUAUAAUGAGACUGCCGGUGACAAACCGGAGGAAGGUGGGGAUGACGUCAAGUCCUCAUGGCCCUUAUGGGUAGGGCUUCACACGUCAUACAAUGGUACAUACAGAGCGCCGCCAACCCGCGAGGGGGAGCUAAUCGCAGAAAGUGUAUCGUAGUCCGGAUUGUAGUCUGCAACUCGACUGCAUGAAGUUGGAAUCGCUAGUAAUCGCGGAUCAGCAUGUCGCGGUGAAUACGUUAAAAGGUCU